AAGAGUAAACCGGAAGAAUUUUUUUUGAAUUAAAAAAAUGAAUUUUACUUUUUAGUAAGAAGGCUAAAAUGCUUCUUUUAGACAAGAAGACCCUAUAAAACUUUAUAUUUUUAAUUUUUUAGAUUAUUUUAAAAAUAUUCCACUGGGGCGGUGAGAAAAAAAGCUUUUCUUAAGAAAAUAAACAUACUUGUUAAAAUACCUAGAAAUUCUAAAAAAGAAAUAAGUUACUUUAGGGAUAACAGCUUUAUUCACUUAGAAAGUUCUAAUUGACAAGUGAGUUUAUGACCUCGAUGUUGAAUUAAAAUUCCUUUAUUGUGCAAAAGCUUUAAGAGG
rnacentral:rRNA from 1 species